UUUUACAAAUUUCCAGCCUAAAAAAGUGUGCAUUUAUGUCACAAAUGCAAAAGGUAUAAGAAGCUAUAAAACUGCAUUCAUCAAUAAAUAAAUAAAAAGUUACAGCCUCCGUAGACAUGGUUAACAAAACCCCAACAAUGAACAGAGAACUUAUCGAGGUACAAGACUCGAGAAGACAUCACGGACAACCAAAUAAGAGAAACAAAGUCAUUCAACCACUGCAACAAUAGAGCAUUCCAUUCAUCUAAGGUACAACCUAUCCGGAUAAAAUCAUAAAAAGAAACCAUUAUCCUAAGCUGACCCAGUCUGAUGAAUGUUUGGUCUUUCUUCAGUGUUAAAAAGGUAAACUGCAGAGGGAAAUCACUUGGCCAUCAUGACCUUAACAAACUCAUCAUAGUUAAUUUGUCCAUCACCAUCAACAUCAGCCUCCCUAAUCAUUUCAUCAACUUCUUCAUCAGUAAGCUUCUCACCAAGGUUGGUCAUCACAUGACGGAGCUCAGCAGCAGAAAUGAAACCAUUCUGGUCCUUG
rnacentral:lncRNA from 1 species